CAAAAACAAUGCCGGAUUUUCCUUGCUUAAUUUACAUUUAUUUUUUAGUUAUUUCUGACCACUGAGCGUUUUUAUUUCAUGAACUAAGACGUGCAAACAAGUAAUUGUUCCUACUAUUGUUCAUUUUUAGAGCAUUUUUCAUUAUCCUUAUAAAUACGGAAAGGCACACUAUAAUUUGCAUCAGCGUGCUAGACAUCAGUGUGGCAAUUCAGGAUAUUGGACGGUCUUCCAUUUUCUUGAGUGCAGGCAUCGACAAUCUCACACUUGUGUCAUUUGUGGAGACAUCGGUGUCUCAAGCAUCAAUGAUACUUUGGGAGCAAAGGCAAUUGUAUUACUGGCCUUCAGUGUCAUAAACAAAUAUAAAGUCCUAUUCAUACUUUCCUCCACCUUUGAACUGCACGUGGACCACUGAUAUGCACACGGUUCCGUUCAUUGUGUUUGGUGGUUCAUGUCAGUAUGUCCUCCACGCACGCACAUUUGUUCGUGCACUUAAAUAAUCCUAAAGCUGGCACUGCGAAAGCAGAACGUAACAGCUCUUGUGAUUGCUGUAAUGUUUCUUGGGAUAGUUAACGGCGAGAGCUUUGAGCCAUCAUGUGCCCGUCAUCUUGCUUUUACUUUGAAUUAUGAAGAUGGAGAUUCUGGCAGACGGAUGCCGGCUUGUAGGAGUACGUGGUCAUCUGUCGCUGUUCCAAUCUCAACAUACUAAAAAACAACAGAGUAGAGCUCUGUUUCUUUUGUCUUCACGGAGUCGAACUUUGUAUUUCAAAAUUAAUAUGCCAUUGUCGUAAUCAAUGGGGAUGCCCAAACCACUGCGGCCAUGUGAAUCACGUACCAACACGAAUCCUGACAUGCAGCAUGAAUGGAACCACAUUAUCAUCUGUUUGCACAAUGAAGUCUGUAUUCUGCUCAUAUUUAGUUAGUCAUGCUGUAUAACCUCCCAUGGCCACAGCGUAGCUUGGCGUCCUUGUAACCAUCAUCUCCUAGAAUUGGAAUACUCUUGUAUUAUUCCUCUCUUCUUAGUUACCGGUAGGUUUGAUGGUUAAGGUGUUAUUCCUCUCUGUUAGUUGUGUUUGUUCAGACACUUGAAAGAAACAAUGUAGAAUGCUGUUGAAGGUAUUUCCUGCUCACUGUGUUUACAAUCACCUUUAGUGCCCCUCGACCCCCACCACUUUUAGGGUCCCCCUCCACAGGACAUGUUUUACAUCAAAAGAGGAGGAACUGUUAUCUCAAGUAUCUGUGUUCCUGCCAUCACACCAAAUGGUGGGUAGUGGUGGUCUGGUCUCACCUCACCGCUCGCAACUUCUUUCAGCCACACCGGGAGCCCGAAUCGAUUCGUAAACUGCAUAAAAAUAAAGUAAACCCUUCGAAGGAACUGUU